AAAAUGGAAAAAAAAAAUAAAAAAGAAGUAAAUUCUUCCACUUCAGUGUACUACUUUCAAUCCCUAAAUAAAUAAAAGAAUCACAUUUAGUCCAGACAUUGGGAAACAAUGAGUUGAUGAGGAUAAAGAUCAACUUUGAAACUGAAUAUCAAUAACAUAAUCCAUGAAUUCAUCUAAAUGCCACAAUAAGUGAAAUUAGGAAAUGACAGCAACAGCUUCACUCAAUACGAAACAACUCAGAGAAAAUUGCUAUUUUUGUAGCUGAGGAUUUCUUGAUAUGUUUUUGGGUAACAAGGUAAAAGAAGUUUAGAUGAGGAGACUAGUUGUUCUGCUUUGUACAGUGUACUCUGUCACUGUUAUUUUAAAGCCGAAAUUUUUGGCUUUAGAUAGUUUUCUUGCAAGUUGUGUAGUCAUCUUAGUUAUUCCCUGAUUGACUCUUUCCUUUUGGCUAAUUGCAUGAUUAAUUAGCAGUCUGUCACUGUAACACUCUCUUUAUUUCCUUGUUUUUUCCUCUCUAAUAAAUUUUUCUACUAUCCACUGAAUGAUCCUAAGAGAAAAUCAUUUUUGGACAAAUGGGUUGAUAAAAAGCUUUUAAUUUGUCAAAGAAACUAAACAAAUAGAAAAAUGGGUAUUAUUUUUCACUGGAGUAAUUCAUGAAAUUGAAAUGCAACACAUCAAAAGUACUAAUUUUAAUUAUUUUUAGACAAGGAACACCCAAGUGCCCAAUCAAUAACCAAAUCAGAAUGAUACAAUAAAAGAAGACAGCUCAAUGUGAAAAAAAAAAAUCAUCAAAAAGAUGGAAUUCAGUUGCAAAAGACAAGAAGGAAACUAAUUGAAACAGACCAUAGCCAAUCAAACAAACAACAGAAAAAAACGAGAGAAAGAUAAGAAUCACACAAGAAUCCAGGAUUUUCUUCCCUAGACCGGUUCACCAUGAACCAAUAGACAAAAGAACAAAUUGAAUCAAGAUUGAAAAAAGAUUAAAACUGCAUUUCCAGUAAUAAAAGACAUACCCAAGAGGAUAAACAUUUCC
rnacentral:misc_RNA from 1 species